rnacentral:tRNA from 1 species
GCCGCCAUGGUGAACUUGGUAGACACGCUGCUCUUAGGAAGCAGUGCUCAAGCAUCUCGGUUCGAAUCCGAGUGGCGGCA